GAGGAAUAUUGGGCAAUGGAGGCAACUCUGACCCAGCCAUGCCGCGUGCAGGAAGACGGCCCUACGGGUUGUAAACUGCUUUUAUUUGGGAAGAAACCCUAUUACGUGU
rnacentral:rRNA from 1 species